GUGGGGAAUAUUGGGCAAUGGGCGAAAGCCUGACCCAGCAACGCCGCGUGAAGGAAGAAGGUCUUCGGAUCGUAAACUUCUAUCCUUGGUGAAGAUAAUGACGGUAGCCGAGAAGGAAGCCCCGGCUAACUACGUGCCAGCAGCCGCGGUAAUACGUAGGGGGCAAGCGUUGUCCGGAAUGAUUGGGCGUAAAGGGCGCGUAGGCGGCCUGGUAAGUCUGGAGUGAAAGUCCUGCUUUUAAGGUGGGAAUUGCUUUGGAUACUGGCGGGCUUGAGUGCAGGAGAGGUAAGUGGAAUUCCCGGUGUAGCGGUGAAAUGCGUAGAGAUCGGGAGGAACACCAGUGGCGAAGGCGACUUACUGGACUGUAACUGACGCUGAGGCGCGAAAGUGUGGGGAGCAAACAGGAUUAGAUACCCCAGUAGUCC
rnacentral:rRNA from 1 species